CCUGUUGGGAUAAAUGUAGCGUGUCAGGUCUAGAUACUAUAGAUGUUUUUACCCCAAGCACUUAAUUUUAUACACACUACUUGAGCCGAUAUCAUUGUUAUCACUUUGAGUGAUUCAUUGUACAAGAUGCCGACUGUUUCAAUCAGAGGGGUACAUUAUAUUCCAUGCUUUGACAAGGUACAAGCUUAAUCCGAAUCACUGCUAUAUCCCAAAUGACAGCGCGACGCUCGCUAGGGUGACCACCUUGAAGUUGAGAUGUUCGGCUGCUAAGGUUCCAAACUCUCCAGCUUCUCUCGUCUAGUGAUUCGCCGUCUCGCGAAACAAGAGUUGGAGACUGUGGGGUAUCCAGGAUACUUCAAUCGUUGAUAGCUUUUCUGACGUUUCCUUACAAAUAGACCGUGAUAUUUCUGAAUAAAAUGUGAAUAUUUACAAAGCAGGCCGAUCGGUUCUCUAAACAACAAAUCAAUGGGGUCAAUGAAAGUAUGAGGUUUGGACUAUCAAGGAGCCGCCAUGCACUAAUGGCUAAAAAAAGAACCUUCGGGAAACAGGUGGGAAAAAACCUGUGGUGAUCUAAAACGUUAGCGUCCAGACAUCUCCUUCAAGAUGAAGAUCAGCGAAAUCGUAGUAAACACAUAUUUCUGCUGCAACUUUACGUUGGUAAGAGAGGAAAAAAGGCAAAGGAACGAUUGAAGCGUUAAAGAUCCAAGUGGACUCUUCCUUUGACUAAAACGAGAAAUGUCAAGCCAUUGUUGGGCGAAUGUACGAAACAAUAAAACUACUUAAUACUA